UCGUGCUAGAUGGGGAGGUAGCGGUGCCCUGUACCCGCAAUCCGCUCUAGCGGGGUUGAAUUCCCUCUCGAGGUGGCAUCUUGUGGGACUAGCGUCGUAACGUGGCGUUGACGGUCGGGUCCCGCGCGGCGGGGAACCGUGAACCCGGUCAGGACCGGAAGGUAGCAGCCGUAAGCGGCACUCUUCGGGUGACGUGGGGCAGCCUGACCCGAGCCAACGAACGGCGACAAGCCGGAAGGUGUCCAUCGACAGAGGGUGCACGA
rnacentral:SRP_RNA from 2 species